CGCCCGAGGCUUUGUGAUACGCUUUCUAAGAGUCGAGUUGUUUGGGAAUGCAGCUCAAAAUGGGUGGUAAAUGCCAUCUAAGGCUAAAUAUUGGGGAGAGACCGAUAGCGAACAAGUACAGUGAUGGAAAGAUGAAAAGAACUUUGAAAAGAGAGUUAAACAGUACGUGAAAUUGCCAAAAGGGAAGGGUAGGAGGUCAGAGAUGCGGCCUGGGAUUCAGCCUUGCUUUUGCUUGGUGUUUUUCCCAGAUUGCAGGCCAACGUCGGUUUUGGGCACUGGA
rnacentral:rRNA from 1 species